AAUAAACGUAAGCUCGAUCAUAAGAAAUUCGACCUCUAAAUUUCUUACGAUCGUGCUUGUGAUAAGCGUAAAGCGCCUAAUGACGUUAUGACGACGCGUCCACACUCAAGUCAUGAUGCUUAUGACUCUUACGACGCUAGUGGGGACUAGGCUUAAGUACCGACGAGUCUAGAACGGCUGCGAGGGAGACACUGCACGAGCUUGCAAAUACUUUUGCUAUAUUUCUUUUAAAUCUGACUAUUCUAUGCUUUAGGUGCCCUAGGCUUAUCGUCUCGUUCUCCUACCCUUAUGUGUGGGAGUCUAAUUGUUUCGGUGUAGAAGCUGGUUUCGAGAUCAGUUCUGGCAUCUGUCACUGUGUGUUUGACAGUCACGAUUCAGGGGAAUGCAAUGGUGUGGUAUGGCACGCAAGUCGUCUUUCUACUAAUAGACUCCUAUACAACUUCUGCGCCUUUAAUGGAAUCUACCCCAACAUUCAGGGAUAUAUGUACGUGCGAUAGCCGUGCAUUUCACCAAGACAA